rnacentral:lncRNA from 1 species
GUACUUACUCACACGACUAAUUACAAAGUUUGAGGUUGUCUUCCAAGCGAGCUCAAUAGCUAAUUUCUUUAUAAGUCUUGUGGACAGAAAGUUAGAGAAAAAUUGGAGACGAACAACAAAAGCAUUGCCCGAGUCUUCCUCAAUCUUAACAUUCUUAGCAUAGAAAAUGUUGUUCUUUAAAAUCAGGGAAUUGAUCAAAGAUGACUCCAUAAUUUUGUUUUCAUUACUUAAAUUCUCAAAGACUAUUUAAUAAACAAACAAACAAAAGAAUUACAAACAAAAAAAUGAUUGUUAUGAAUAAGUGGUGGAAAUCUAAAUAAAACGUUUUAAAUUAUGAGGUUGAGAGAGCUUGAGUGUUCUUAGACGUCGUUUGUUUAAAAAAAAUAGAUAUUUAGAUAGAGCAGAACGGUUAUAACAGUUGAAAAAAACGUGCCCAGCGUAAAAUCUUAACUCUAGGCUCUUGGGCGUCAAACGAGCCGAGCUUUUGCUUAUAGAGCCAGGCUCGGGCUCAGCUCGUUAAGGAGUUAUCUAGGCACGUUUGGGCUCGGCUCAUUUUAAGAAUUGUCAGGCUCGGGCUCGAAGCUCGCGAGCCUGGGCUCGAACUUAACCUGUAGGUUAAAAUAAAUUAUUUGAAGACAUGGAGGAUCGAACCCGUGACCUUUCACAUGGUAAGAAAAUCUUUUUCCAUCUAUGCUACAUCUUCAUUCUAUCUAAAUAGAAUACAUUUUAUUUUUUUAUACUUCUUACCGAGCCCAUCGAGCUUAACGAGCCUGAGCUUUAGGCUCGGGCUCGACUCGCUCGGGCACUACAUAAAAACAAAAAAAUGACAUAUGGAAAAAAAUAACAUAUGGAAAAAAUGACAAAUCAAUAAAUAAUUCAUACCAAAAACUUAACGAGGAGAUUUUCCAUGUCCUCUUCUUUCCAUGAAAUCCAUUUAGUUAAAGGUGACGUUAUGUUACCUUUUACUAAUAUUCCGAUUUGACUUCUUACCUUGUUGGUAAAAGUCUAAUAAAAACAAUGAAAUUAAAUAAUAUAAUAUAAUUAAUUAAUUAUAAUAAAAGCACUCACCCGCUCUAGCUUAACAAUAGUGGCGGGCUUAACAAUAGUAGCGGGAGUUGGUGCAUCUGGUUGCCUCAAUCUCUUAGUCCACUUUCUUCGAUGUUCUUCAUCGAACUGGUACCCUAAAUUUUUUUGCUCUAUUGGUUCUGGUCGUUUUGGUCUAAAAUUUAUUGCUCUAUAGAACCAAACUUAGAUCUUUAUGGUUGAGCUCAAAAACUUUCUCUCAUACUUUGGUGAUAUUGACACAAACCUCUCAAGCAAAGUGGACACACACAAGAGAUGAUUAGAGAAGUGGAAUAUUAAACACACAAAACUUCUUACUUGUAAAGAUGAACAAGAGGAUUAGAAGUAGAAGUUGGAAAGCUUUUGAAGCUUUGCAAAGCUAGAACACUUGAGAAUUUUUGGAAGCUCUUUGAAAUGCUUUAGGUGUGGUGAACGAAAAUGAGAGUGUUACCCUUUCAUUUAUAGCCUUGGUCAUCACUUGUCCACCCUUGGAUCUUCAAUGGAUGGUUUUUUGAUUCCUCACAUGAUUCCA